UUCCAGGAGGAAGUCGAGUUCCUCAGCCAGAUUUUUCCAAAUGGAGCAGCCUACUGUAUGGGACGUCUGAACUCAGACUGCUGGUAUCUGUUUACGCUGGAGCUGCCGGAGUUCUGGGAGAACAAGCAGGCAGACCAGACACUAGAAGUUCUGAUGAGUGACCUCGACCCGGCUGUGAUGGACCAGUUCUUCAUGAAAGACGGUGUUUCUGCUAAUGAUGUCACUCGUAUGAGUGGAAUUCGUGACCUGAUU